AACUUGACACAAGCUAAAGUCAGCUGAGAGAAGGGACCCUCAAUUGAGAAAAAUGCCUCCAUAGACUGGACUGCAGGCAAGCCUGUAGGGCAUAUUUCUUAAUCAGUGAUUGAUGAGAAAGACCCAGCCCACGGUGGGUGGUGCUAUCCCUGGGAUGGUAGCCCUGGGUUCUAUAAGAAAGCAGGCUGAGCAAGCCAAGUGGGGCAAGCCAGUAAGCAGCACCCUUCCAUGGCCUCUGCAUCAACUCCUGCCUCCAAGUUCCUGCUCUCUCCUGUCUUCCUUCAAUGAUAUGGAAGUGUAAGCUGAAUAAACCCUUUCCUCCCC
rnacentral:lncRNA from 1 species